rnacentral:rRNA from 1 species
AGACCGCGCCAAUGGUACUAUCGCUCAAGCGAUGGAAGAGUAGGUCGUCGCCAGGC